UGGUGUAGUUGUUAACGCGUUGGACUUUGGAUCUGGAGGUUCGUGGUUCGAGUCCACG
rfam:Asian citrus Psyllid, Diaphorina citri - Florida Strain, whole genome shotgun sequence.